UAAACAACCACCCGUUUACUGAGAUUAUACAGCACAUGGUACCUGCAUUGAUUUAGUCUAAAAACACCAAGUGAACUGAUAGUAUAAAUUUGUUUACAUUGAUCGUCAAGAAAAGCGCAAAAGAACAUGUAAAUAUUUGUGAGGGACCAAGCUGGAACUGGAAGGACUCACGUUAGCUAAGUUUGUAUAACUUGCUGAGUAUUGUAGAUUUCAAGCCAGGUCAUUGGGUGGGAGUGAAGUAUAACGAGCCUCUUGGGAAACAUGACGGGCAGGUGAUGGCAACGGACAUAAUUUUGUGACGUCGUCGCAUGGUGUCUGAAAUGUUCACUGUUUAGAGUGUGAAGGAGAAGUGAUACUUUGAAUGUGAGAACAAGUACGGUGCGUUUGUCAGGCCCCUCACAAAGACCGUGUGGAACUUCCCAGAGGAAGACUUUCGUCUGGACGAGAUGUAGGACUGUGAUGCUGUCACCCUGUCAAAGGGCGUGGGCAGAUGGGUUCAACAUUGACCUCCAAGUCUGAUUACGAACCUGGGGCGAGGGACAGUGUCAUUGUGAUUAAUAACUUUAUUGUUUUGUGCUGGUCAGGGAGGUAUGGGUUGGACUAUAGAGAGCUGCAACUGGGGGAGGAGGCAGUAUCACCUAGGACCGAAUCUAGCGUAUGACAUCUCUUGUGGCGCAGCGGUCUAAGGUACUGCAUCUCCGUGCUAGAGACGUCAUGACAGACGCCUCUAGCAACAAAAUAAAAAGGUGGAAUUUACUGUACAGU